rnacentral:lncRNA from 1 species
AUGUGACGAUUCAUGAAGCUUUAUUGAUAACAGCUGAGACCUGGAAACGGCCCACGUGUCCCUCCACAGGAGACUGGAUGAGCAAUGUGCGGUGUGAUCGCACAACACGGCAGGGAGGAGGCAGUGAGGUGCUGACACCUGCAAGGCCGAGGAGGAAGCCCAUCUUGGUGCUGUAGAUGCCGUGUACACGAAGAACAGGCAAAGUGAUCCACUGUGGGAGAAGCGGAAACUGUGGUCAGCUCUGGCCACGCCGGGAUUAACUGGGAAGGGCCUGCAGGAACUUUGCGGGUGAUGGGAAUUUUCUGUAUCUUGAUGGAGGUUUGGGUUAUACGAGUGUAUGAAUUCGUCAAAAGAUGAGCAAAUUUACACAUAAAUCUGUGUGUUUCUCUGUAAACUGCUUCUCUUUGCGGAACAAAAACAAAAACCCUGUAGCAUGCUGGAGAGAAAGGGCUAUGGUCCUUCCUGGAAAAGUUCUGGGAGGGAGACGGGGAUCCAGCCACGUCCUGCAACACCGCAGUGUGGGGCGUGGACCGUCACGAGGCCCAGGUCUGGUGGGAAAACAUUAGUGGACUCAGUGUCGGAACCCAAGGGCGGGACUUCUUAGAACUGAGAAUCUUGAGACUGGUGAGGUCUCCAAAGGGCCCUGAUGCGGGUGGCACUGCAGGCCCUGCCACACUUCCUCUCCCAGUGCCAGCUGUCACCAGAAAAGAGAGCGUUCAUGUCUCAACUAUCAGAAACCUUCAACUCGCAUAAACCUCAGGGCUGCCAGGAGCAUUCACAAUCACCAAAUGUCACUUCGCACCCAAUGCAGGACACUUCCCCCCCCCCCCCGCCAAGGCACCAUCCCCAUGCCCGGCAAGGCCUGCCCUGGGUGCACCAGAUGUUCCAUGUCUUCUGCUGGGGGGCACUUAGAAGUGCCUUCAAUGCUUUCUAUCCAAAAAUGCUUAGCUUGACCUCGUCAGAGGCUCUAUAGCCCCACUUUACAGGCAACACAGGGGACAGAAGGACGAACUAAACAAUGUCACAAAGAAGCAAUGGGACAAAUCCAGGAGGUGAGGUGUCACACAGUGUAAUUGGCCCAAAAUAAGGACAGUUAUGAAUUAAAGAGACUUACGGAACAUGACCACCUGUGAAAACGAAUGGCCAUGGAUUUGUUAUUGAUUUGCACAAAAUUACGGUAAAUAACACACAUUUUGAACAUAGACUAGGUAUUGAUGAGAAGAAAUUUAGUGAAAUAGAAAGGUAGAGAUCAUUGAAUAAAGAUAUGAAACAAUACACUCAUUUUGUCUAAUUUUAAGAUUUUUUUUUUCGGGCCUCUAAGAUAUUCACAGCCAGGAUCGCUCAGUGAUAGAAGGGUUUUUUCUUCUUUUGUGCUUGCUUCUAUUUUCUAGAUU